rnacentral:rRNA from 1 species
UACGUAGGGUGCGAGCGUUAAUCGGAAUUACUGGGCGUAAAGUGUGCGCAGGCGGCCAUGCAAGUCGAGUGCGAAAGCCCCGGGCUUAACUUGGGAAUUGCGCUCGAAACUACGUGGCUGGAGUGUGGCAGAGGAAGGUGGAAUUCCACGUGUAGCGGUGAAAUGCGCAGAUAUCCGGAGGAACACCGGUGGCGAAGGCGGCUUCCUGGACCGACACUGACGCUGAGGCGCGAAAGCUAGGGGAGCAAACGGG